rnacentral:rRNA from 1 species
GACGAACGCUGGCGGCGUGCCUAAUACAUGCAAGUUGAGCGCUGAAGGUUGGUACUUGUACCAACUGGAUGAGCAGCGAACGGGUGAGUAACGCGUGGGGAAUCUGCCUUUGAGCGGGGGACAACAUCUGGAAACGAAUGCUAAUACCGCAUAAAAACUUUAAACACAAGUUUUAAGUUUGAAAGAUGCCAUUGCAUCACUCAAAGAUGAUCCCGCGUUGUAUUAGCUAGUUGGUGAGGUAAAGGCUCACCAAGGCGAGGAUACAUAGCCGACCUGAGAGGGUGAGCGGCCACAUUGGGACUGAGACACGGCCCAAAGGGCUACGGGAGGCAGCAGUAGGGAAACGUCGGGAAGGGACGAAAGUCUGACCGAGCAACGCCGCGUGAGGGAAGAAGGUUUUCGGAUCGUAAAACUCGGUUGGUAGAGAAGAACGUUGGUGAGAGUGGAAAGCUCAUCAAGUGACGGUAACUACCCAGAAAGGGACGGCUAACUACGUG